rnacentral:rRNA from 1 species
AGACUCUGUGCGCGUGCAUAUCAAUAAGCGGAGGAAAAGAAACUAACAAGGAUUCCCUUAGUAACGGCGAGUGAAGCGGGAAGAGCUCAAAUUUGAAAUCUUCAAGGUUCUACCUUGACGAAUUGUAGUUUAUAGAAGUGUUUUCUGUUAGUGGAGCGGCAAAAGUUCUUUGGAAUAGGACAUCAUAGAGGGUGAGAAUCCCGUAUUUGGUCAUUCCUCCUAGCGUUGUGAUACACUUUCAACGAGUCGGAUUGUUUGGGAAUGCAGUCCAAAAUGGGUGGUAAAUUUCAUCUAAAGCUAAAUAUUGGCGAGAGACCGAUAGCGAACAAGUACCGUGAGGGAAAGAUGAAAAGAACUUUGAAAAGAGAGUUAAACAGUACGUGAAAUUGUCAAAAGGGAAGCGUUUGACACCAGUGUUGUUUUUCCGAAAAUCAAUUACGAAUGUUUUAUUUUUGAGGAGUUAUGACUUCAUCGGCUUGCUCCUUUCUUUAUCGAAACUUUCUUAAUGCACUUUUCGGUUAACAAGUCAACAUCAAUUUCUUUUGUUGUAAAAGGGUAUGAGGAAGGUGGCUUUCUUUUCGGAGAAAGUGUUAUAGCCUUGUGCCUCUGCAAUCGGAGAGAUUGAGGUCUGCAGCGUAGAUCCUUCGGGGUUAGAUACAUUUGUGCUAAGUUAUAGCUUUUUCAUAGACAACUUGUUGACUAUAUUAUAGUCUUGUAGGCUUACUCGCUUAUGCUAUUUUACCUACGCUUAGGAUGUUGAACUCUAUCACACACAG